AAAAUAUUAUUACAGCUUUUAAAUUUUGUGCGCGAUCCAUUUUUAUUUUGUUGGAAAAGACACACACCCCCCCCCUGGUUCACAAAAUUUGAGUUCGAGAAUUUUUUUUCAUUAUUUUACAUUAUAAGUAUCCAAAGAAGCAAUAUAUAAAAAAACCCAGAUAAAAAUAGGUGUUUUGCGAAAUUGAGAGCAAUUUCAAAUCUGUUCAGGUUUUUUUGAUACACCCUGUAGUGUAGUAAAUUUAAAAAUAGGUACGCAGUGCGUACAUGUUGCAUGCCAUCAAAACAAUGAAACCUCAUGACUCAUAAUACUAUACGGAAAUCCAUCUCCAUUGCUUCUUGUGCAAGUACUAUUUGUCAUGAUUUCUCACUCGGCAAGUACCAUAAUCAGAAGCAGUCACCUCCCUGGCACUGAACAAAGACACACAGAAGGUCGAUUUAGAGUAACCGCUGUCACGUCCCAGCCAGUGCGUGCCGAAGAGGCAUUCCUCCUGGACGUCUGUCAUUUUGAAUAUUAUCAGGGGGUGAAUGCCUCCUAAAAGCACAUCAGCCAGGAUUAUGGCGUCAGCAUUUUGAUGAUAAAUUACGAUCAUGCCAAAAUCAUUGAAAAAUCACAGGAAAAACCAAGAAAUUGGGCUUCUGUAUGACCCACCCUGUUCCCUGGUUAUGAUGCGCUACUGCUUAUAACUUUUGGUACAACUGGCCUAAAACUUAAAAUAUUGAUUCAAUAAGUUAAAUA